UUAUAGGAACCGCGGGUUAAGAAAAUGGAUAUUACUCGGAGAAGUUUGAAGGGCCCUGGGACAAGGGGGAUUGCAUUUCAGAGUAGCAGAAAUACAAGGCCACCCUCUCUUUGCAGUCUCCAAGGAGGAGAAAGAGAACGAUAUGAAUGAUUUAGGGUUUGGGUGUUAGUGUGUGAGCAGGCGUAUUGAUGACUGUAAUCAAGAUAUUACUCGGAGAAGUUUGAAGGGCCCUGGGACAAGGAGGAUUGCAUUUCAGAGUAGCAGAAAUACAAGGCCACCCUCUCUUUGCAGAGGGCUAAUAUACUGAAUUUUUUAUCUUUGCAUGAUUUUUGGUCUUUGAAUGGUUGUCGUCUUCUUCUUCGUUCUUUUUUCAAUGGCAAAGCUGAACGAUCCAUGGAGCACAUGUUGUUGAGCCUUUUGCUGCUACUGGUCUGGUCCAAUUCGAAUGAGUUGAUGGAGUACAAUCUUUAGGCCCGUUGGAGGAGCUGAAAAACCAGUCUCGACUCCGCCGACCGAGACAUAUUCCGAGAUAUGCUCCAGCUCAAUAACAAAUCAGACAUCAGCCCAGCAGCUUUUGGUGUGCCUGCGAAUGUUGAUUCGGCGAUGCGUUUACAAUAACAUCAAGAGGGAGAGAUUCAAAAGAUGUUCCCAGUGUAGCUGUUUCAGAGUUGAAGAGGAUGUUGAUGCUUUUGCUGCAGAAGUUUCAGCAAGAAUGAUGGCGAGAUGCACACAAGGAUCAGGACCUACUACAUGAGCAAGACCAAGUAGCCGACCCUCUACAACAAAAUCAGCCCGCUCGGAAACCCUAGCUUGAAUGUGGUUCCAGAGCUCGACAACUGGGUCUACAAUGGCAACAAAGUCUGAGUCAUGGAGCUUCAGUGCAUCAUUCACGACCUCCGAAAGUGGAAACGCUUCUCCCAAGUCCUCCAGAUUUCCAUCUUUCUUUCUUGCCUUGCAAUUUGUGUUAUCCCCCGUUUGGUUGCUCAUACAAUGAAAGAAAAUUGAGAGAAGCAUCAAAGUAAUUAAAUUUUAGUUAAAGAAAGUGAGUGAAAGAGGGAAUUAGGAUUUUUAUUAGUUUAUGUGUUCCUCUCCCUCCAAACCUAAUGGCUUAGCCUUUGAUCUGAUCAAACCCACCUCCAAAACCCUUCCUUGAUCACCAUCUUCAGCAACCCAAUUCGGCGCUUACUCGGAUCAGGACCUCUUGGAGAUUCGGAGCUCCAGCUCUGCCCACAAGUGUGCGAAGGCGACAUGGUCCUGGUCGACGGUUCGGAAGCUCUGGUGAUUCUAACUGAAAAAGAGGUCAAUAACAAGAAGGUGAUGGAAUUCAAUGUUUUUUGUUUGUUAUAGAGGCAUAUUUGCAACAGCAUAUCAGAUAAUAAUUCUAGAUAGUCUGUUCUGAUAGCUUAGAUUGUGUUUCAUGAUGCAUAUGGCUGAAGCGGUUUUGACUACUUUUUGGAUUGCUCAUUAAUUUUUUAGCUGCCCUUGGCUGGUACAAAUAUAUAUAAGAAGUUUGUCAUUUUAUCAACUUUUACUCAGGUCAAAUUUAGGAUCCAUUUGUACUCAUGCGUAAUUGGGGUAAAGUGCACAUGCUUUGUUUUCUGUUGUAUUUUUUCAUCUAGGGGAUAACGUUUUGUUGUUUGUUGGAAGGAAUAUUAAAACACAUUCACACCCUAUUUUGUCAAAUUGUUCUAAAGUAUCUCAUGCUGGUUUUAGAAUUCUCUCAACUUUCUAACUCAAAUCUGUGCCAAGAGAACCCAACUAAAGUGGUUCGCUGCUCCAUGUAUGAAGUAUUAGUGAAUUAUUUGUAAUUUUACGAAACAAAACGAAUUUUUUUGUGUUGUAAGCAUACAUAUUGAAAUUUAUGUUAUAAAUUUUUUGGUA
rnacentral:sRNA from 1 species